AGAAAGCUCUUCAAAUGCUGCACUCUUUCAUGGUGCGGAACAGCAUCAUGUUGGUGAUGAAGCCGACGGCGGGCUAUGGAGUUGACAUUGGCUUUAGAUGGUUCUCAAAUCUUGCGAAGGACAACUUACCCUUGAGCUUUGGUUGCACCAUCUCUGCAGUUCAAGUGUACACGGGCAUAUUACUUCUAAGGCAUGCUAAAAGCAUCAUCGACUACUCAUUGGCCCAAAUGCAACUUCCGCAG